AAACAACUUAUUAAUUGGAUAUCACCUUAUCCAGAAACCUAUUCUCCCUAGCCCAUACCUUUUAUAGACUUAGGUCAAAUAUAAUUGUGUACUAUACUCUUUCAAUUCAAUUCCUCUUGGAUCUCUGAACUCUUAUAUCCAAGGCAUUCUUAAUGUAUACCAUUACUUAAUAUUAAUCAAUAUAAAUUAUCCUUCCUUAGUUUUCUUCCUUAUGUUACCAUUGUUUGUUUUACUUCACCUCGAUAUAAACAAAUUACUCAUUAUAGUUAAUCUAUGAAAUACUAUUGAACUCAAUCUUUGUGGUAUUAAGUAA